GCUAAUUAAAUUUUAACUAGUAUUUUAUAAAUAAAGUGCCCCAUAUAGAAUUUGGGUCUAGAUCCGUCACUGGCUAUGGCUUUCUCGCAAAGGACUGGAUAGUCCGCAUUGUUCACGUGUAUAGGAAGGUCAAUUGUUUUGCCGGGAUUCAGAUAUUUUCUAAUCCAAUUAGCAUCAGACUCAGAUAUUUUGCAAAUUCUGGUUGAUUAAUGC
rnacentral:sRNA from 1 species